UAACUGUGCCCGUGGGGAGAACUUC
rnacentral:miRNA from 1 species